rnacentral:lncRNA from 1 species
CUAACUAACAUUUUUACUCAAAUUGAGUUAUCACUAUUUUCCAAAUCCUCAGCAUAAAAUAUAACGAUUUUCAUUUAAAAGUUAACUUUUUUUUAUUUAUUAACCUUAAAAUUCGAAAAGAACAAAACGACCCAACUGCAUUAUCGAUAAUAUCGACCAGCUCUGUUGAUGGGACUUUUUGCUCGCCGAAGGUCUCAUCUGUCAUUUUCGAUUUUUGUUUUCAAAAUUGCACAUGGGACCUUUGGCAUGCAAGCGAGCUCUCACAGUAAUUUUGAAACUAUUUUGAGUUAAAUUAAUAAAAAUGGAUCCUACACAAGACCAAUUCCGGAUGUUCAUACAAGCAGCAUCACGUCGAAGCCAAAGAUCCGAUGGCAGCAGUCACUAUGGUAGUCAACCUACACCUCCGCAGAUAGAUGAUUCGUGCGAUGAAAAAUUCAAGCUACGGGAGAGUUGCAAAUGCCGAACCUGCACCUUCAAAGAAGGAUAAUUCAGUUUUUAAGCUCUCUAAGAGGAAAAGCGCUGAGUCACCACGGAGCUGAAAGAAGCGCACUGGAACUUUUCAAAAUGGUACGGAGACUCUACCGAAGCAGCAUGCUUGAAAUUAACUGCAGGACAGGUCAACAAUCCUUGCAAAAACAGCAGCAUUCAUCGUGUUCCGUUUCAUGAGAUGAAAAUGUCAAGCUACGGGAAUGUUGCAAAUGCCCGUACAACGGAUUGGAUUUUGCAACAGAAUCACGCAAAGUACGACAGAUGUAGGUUAACAGAUUUAUCCAACACUCGAGUCAAAAGCAGCAAUCUCUCCUCUACAGUAGCCACGCCACCCAUAUAUCGAUCUUUGAAGUCUCACUCUGUAUCCAUCAAAGGACAUGAUAAAUCACUGAGAAAACUGAUCAGUGAUUCAACGGGUACAGAAGAAAUGAUCGAUCUUGAUUCGAUUCCCAGUUACUGUAAAGAAAAUGUCGUUAAAGCAAGUCAUCAGCAGUAUCGAAAAAGCGUUAUUGAAGAAAGAGAGCAGAUCAGCCCAAGCCUGGCUUCUACAAAAUGCAAAGAACAAAUUAUAAUUUCAUUGGAUCAUCCAUACAUUAAGGUGUUCGAACUCUUAGUGCCACCCUCCAUCAUGUUCAAAGAUGCGAGUACAAGUCUAAUGUCUUCUGCGAGGUCUGUUGAUUGCAAUCUUCUUUAAAGUAUGCAAAAAAAACUAUUCGAGAAUUUCGACUACCACCAGUCUUCAACAGUAUCGUACACUCAUGUGCACUGGAUAAGUUCUCCUUUUCAGCAAUAUCAUAGACUGUACACUGCAUGCCUUUGAUACAAAAGAAAAAAGAAAAUCUACCAAAAAAUAAUUUUUUUUUUGAAUACCUCACUAUUGCCCAAUAAUUUAAAUAAUAUUUUACUCUAGUUGACGUAAAUUUGAUUUGAAUCCAUUAUUCUUUACAAACUUAAUCAACAUUUACCAGUUUUUAUUGAGUUUUACAAAUAUCCCAAGUAACAAAGGUAUUUUCAUAAAGACCCAUUUGAUAGGUCCCAACUGACAAUAAAAGUGCAAAAGGUCUCAUGUGAUAAAAAUAUCCAAAAAUAACGUAAACAUGUAGUUUUCCGCAGAAUGAACAUCAUUUUUUAAUUUUUGAGCUUUUUUCACGUUUAGAAAUGAAGUUCAAUGUCUUAUUUUAUGUUUCUAUUCUGAUUGGCAUUUGAUUUUCAUCACGAUUUUUUCGAAGCUUAUUUUCUCCGAUAAAGGCAAAAGUCUGAUGGGACCUUUUGAAAUGUUCGUCUCGAUUUACAAUAAAAUCAGGAGUGCAUAUAAAUUAGAUCUGAAAGCGUCAAUAAUCAUUAAAAAUAAUCGUCUUUCGAAGAAAAAUAUAAAAAUAGGGGGUAAGGUCUGACGGAAAUGGUCUGUUUGGCAAUCACGAACCGCGGAUCCAUUUUCACCGACGAAACAGUUCACUUUUCGACCCGAUCGAGUUUGUUUACUUUCACACUCAACGAUCGUACACCGAGCCGGUCGCGAAUAUGCUCUUCUUAUUCUUCACCUCUUCCUCACUCUCGGAGGGGCCCACGAGGCGGAUCACCAAACAAAAUGGCUCUUCGACGCCAAAUGUUUUCCAACACUUUUUCACUCCGAUCCGGCUGGGCACAUCACCUGACGGAUAGUCACGGCUACGCAGCGGAAAAGUCAGCGAAUGGAUUCGGGAGAAAAAGUAAAUUAAGGCACUCGCGAUUA